GGCUGCAAGAGAGACUGGACCCAGGAUGCCCCGGAUUGGGCCCUACCAGCAGGGCAGUUAAAGGGUCUUUUCUUGUUGAUAGGAACGGCCAGUGCCUGGACCCCACCCUCCCCCACUCCCUUUUAAUUCAAUGGCUACGUGGGGGCUUCUUUGAUGGAGGCUUUGAAGUCGGUGGCUUUGAGAUUACUCUUCCUCUGUGACCUUGACCACCAGCCAUGAGUGCUUCUCCGACAAGCGAGACGUGGAUUCCUGGGAUACUCAGAGUGCACGUGUGUAAUCUCAGAGCUCCUGUGGAAAGGUGGAGAUCUCUCUGUCAUUGACUUCAACAUACAGACGGGAGCACAGUUGUCAUCUGAGAGGCUUCAUCCAAAGCCAAUGGGAAGAGAUGCAGAGACCCACAGCAAAAUAUUAGGCGGAACUCGGGGAGUCUUGUGGAAGAGUCUGGGAAUGGACUGAGGGAUCUGAAGGGGUCAAGGACACCAUGGGAAGACCUACAUAGCUAACUGAUCCCUGCCUGUGGGGGCUCACAGAAACUGAACCACCAGCCAAAGAGCAUACAUGGACCUAGGCCCCAUACAUGUAUGUAGCCGAUGUUCAGUUGGGUCUCCAUAUGGGUACCCCAACAUUUGGAAUGAGAACUAUCUCUGACUCAGACUCUGUUGCCUGCCUUUGAAUCUCUUUCCCCUAGCUGGGCUGCCCUGUCUGGCCUCAGUGGACUGGAUGUGCUUAGUUCUGAGAGUCUUGAUGUGCCAUGGCAGGUUGGUAUGGGGGAGUCUCCCCUCUCUGAGGAGAAGGGAAGGGUGCAUGAAAGGGGGUGUGAGGGUAGGACUGGGUGGAAAGAAGGGAGGGAGGCUGGGAUCAGGAUAUAAAAUGAGUAAAUAACUUAAUUAGUGGAUAAAACCUAUUUUAUGCACGUGAAUGUUUACUUUCAUGAAUGUAGGUGUAACAUUUGGUGCCUGUAGAGUUCAGAACAUGCACGGCAUUGGAUCUUCUGGAACUGGAAUUACACAUGGUUUUGAGCCAUUGUAUGGGUGCUGGGAACCAAACUUUCUACAAGCAUAGCCAGUGCUCUUAACCACUGAGCCAGCUCUCUGGAGAGACAUGGAAAGUUGAUUUUAAGAUCAAUAGAUGAAUUAAUUACACUUAGAAAAUUCUGAAGCAAAGAACAAAGAGAAGUGGAGUAUUUAAUUUCAAAAUCUUAAUAAUGAAAAGACUAUGACCUUAUGCAUACAUGCCAUUCCUAGAAAAAAAAUAGAGUAUUCUGAAAGAAAAUGAAAUAGAUAUAUCAACAACACUAUCUCAAAUGAGAGGGGAAAGAUAAGUUAUUAAAUAAAGUUGAUUAGAUCUAGCAGAUCCUCUCCCCAGGCCUCAAACUAGGAUGAAUUCCAAAUGGAUCUAAGCUUAAGCAUAAGAUAUAAAACCACAAAAACACUAAAAGAAAAUAUGGAACGAUUCCAUUACAAGCUUGGACGGGGAAAAGAGACUUCUAAAUAUAACUACAAAUUCAAAAAAAAAUUAGAUUGUUAGGCUUGAGCACAUGAAAUUCAAAGAAAAACUUGAUCAUGAGGACAUAUUAGUUAACAAAGGAAAACAUGAAUGUUAAAUUCAAUUUAAAUCCUUACAAGUAUCCAGAAAAGGGUAUUAUUUCCAAGAGGAUGAUGAUGAUGAUAACAACAAUGAAGAAGAAGAAGAAGAAGAAGAAGAAGAAGAAGAAGAAGAAGAAGAAGAAGAAGAAGAAGAAGAAGAAG